rnacentral:lncRNA from 1 species
GGGGAGCAGAGUUCUCUGGCCAUGCCUCCCUGAUGGGAGUCCACCUGAACCGUGGACUGAGAAUGAAAAGGGUGAUUUCUCACAGAGAUACUGGACAGUCAAAACAUGUCCAUCACAGCUUCUUCUUUCUUUCUCUAUGGACCAGUUUUCUGUGUUUUCAGUCAGUAUGGUAGAAGAAACAUUGCUAUGCCCAGCUCAAGUUUUACUUUCUCUCUAUUCAAGAACAUUAGAAGUCCCUGGGAGACUCUGACUAGUGAAGCUCAUACAAUUAACUGUGAUGGUGGAGAUGAGGAUAGUCUUAAAGGUAACACGGUUGCAACAGACCCAUCUAUGUGAAUAUAAAGAAGGCACCUGUUUCUGAUGCAACAUAACAGAUGCAAAUGGAUCCAAGGGGAGGAAGCUGUUGCCAAAUAUCUCAUCCCACACUGCCUGGGAAACCUAGGACAUCUCCAUUUUACAGAUGAGAAAAGUGAGGCUUAUCCAGAGUUGUAUAACUGGUUGUUAAUAGUACUGAAAUCCAAACAGAAGUCUAUUUGACUCCAAAGUCUAUCCCUUGAGGUUGCCUCUUAGAAACCGUGUAUUUGGUUCAGAAGAAUACAGGGAAGCUGUUAAUGAGGCUCACCUUGGAAAUCAGCAAGAGGAGGCUUGGAGAAAUUCCAGAGGAGUCAAUACCCAGACUCUUCCUUCUGCAGCAAGUAGAAGGCAUGACUGAGGCAACUCAAGUCUACAUCAUCCCAGCUUCACAAUCUCCCAAGAGAACAAGAGCCCCAGUCGGCCAACAUCUGAACAUAAACUCUCAUCAGUCCACCUUCAUAAGCAGAUGGGGAGGGUCUCCAGGGAUAACAGGAAUUUAACCAACUUCAGCAAUCAGCCUGGUUUACAGCCUCCUGCCCUGCAGCCUGUUCUUCCACAAACCCUGGGUAAAAUGCAGUCACCUUGUUGGUUUAAACCAGCUCCUGACAGACCCCCGGCAACAUACAGAUGAACUCAAGUGAAUUUUCUCAUGACCAUGCUAAAGUCUCCACCCUGAGCAACCUAUAGCUUCAUUACCAUGACAUGCAACCUAUGUGUUGACAUAAUGACUCACUGCAUCUGUGCAACUAGACCUCUCCUCGUCAUACAAUGAUGCUCCCUGCCUCCUCUCCAUCGCCGCAUAAAACCCUCCUGUCACUUUCCCUCGGAAAGACACUGCUUUGGAGAAUACCCCCAGUGUCAUCCUUACUUGAGUUAAAUAAAACCCCUGUUGAUCAAAGCCAGUGUUCUUGUGGAG